UCGCUCCUACUGAUUGAGUGAACUGGUGAAAUCCUUGGACAGCAGCACAGCCCAGAACCUGAGCGUUGCAGCAUGAAGAUGAGUGAACCUUAUCACUCAGAGGAAGGAG
rnacentral:rRNA from 1 species